rnacentral:rRNA from 1 species
UGUGUAGGCGGUUCUUUAAGUUUGGUGUGAAAUCUCCCGGCUUAACCGGGAGGGUGCGCCGAAUACUGAGGGACUAGAGUACGGGAGAGGAAAGUGGAAUUCCUGGUGUAGCGGUGAAAUGCGUAGAUAUCAGGAGGAACACCGGUGGUGUAGACGGCUUUCUGGACCGUAACUGACGCUGAGACACGAAAGCGUGGGGAGCAAACAGGAUUAGAUACCCUGGUAGUCCACGCUGUAAACGAUGUGUGCUAGACGUUGGGGAGCGCAGCUCUUCGGUGUCGCCGCAAACGCUUUAAGCACACCGCCUGGGGAGUACGGCCGCAAGGUUAAA